rnacentral:rRNA from 1 species
GACGUAGGAGGCGAGCGUUGUCCGGAUUCAUUGGGCGUAAAGAGCGCGCAGGCGGCUUGGUAAGUCGGAUGUGAAAUCCCGAGGCUCAACCUCGGGUCUGCAUCCGAUACUGCCCGGCUAGAGGUAGGUAGGGGAGAUCGGAAUUCCUGGUGUAGCGGUGAAAUGCGCAGAUAUCAGGAGGAACACCGGUGGCGAAGGCGGAUCUCUGGGACGGUACUGACGCUGAGACGCGAAAGCGUGGGGAGCGAACAGG